rnacentral:rRNA from 1 species
UACGUAGGGUGCGAGCGUUGUCCGGAAUUAUUGGGCGUAAAGAGCUCGUAGGCGGUCUGUCGCGUCGAUCGUGAAAACUUGGGGCUUAACCCUGAGCUUGCGGUCGAUACGGGCAUGACUGGAGUUCGGCAGGGGAGACUGGAAUUCCUGGUGUAGGGUGAAAUGCGCAGAUAUCAGGAGGAACACCGGUGGCGAAGGCGGAUCUCUGGGCCGAUACUGACGCUGAGGAGCGAAAGCGUGGGGAGCGAACAGG